AUUUUUCAGAAUUAUUUCGUAAAUAAACGAAGAAAAAAGGAGAGUUAAAUUAGAGAGUUUAGCUUCAGUAUUUCGUCGGCAAAAGAGAAACGGUGACGUUUCGAAGACGUACGUCGACGAGGAUGCGACGACGGAGAAAGAAGGCGACACGAUGAGAAACGCUUGCCUAGAUUUAGGUUAAAAAAGGGGGAAUUUCUUUUCCUCUGAAUCUGAUCGAAGAGGGAAAUAUGAAACACUUGUCUUGAAGGAAAAG